UUCCUGGUGGUUUGGUGGUUAAGACGCUGCACUUCCACUGCAUAGAGCCCAAGUUCAAUCCCUGGCUGGAAAA
rnacentral:tRNA from 1 species